rnacentral:rRNA from 1 species
GACGAACGCUGGCGGCGUGCCUAAUACAUGCAAGUCGAGCGCAGGAAACUGACAGAACUCUUCGGAGGGAAGGCAGCGGAAUGAGCGGCGGACGGGUGAGUAACACGUAAGGAACCUGCCUCAAGGAUUGGGAUAACUCCGAGAAAUCGGAGCUAAUACCGGAUAGUUCAUCGGACCACAUGGUCCGUUGAUGAAAGGCGCUCCGGCGUCACCUUGAGAUGGCCUUGCGGUGCAUUAGCUAGUUGGUGGGGUAACGGCCCACCAAGGCGACGAUGCAUAGCCGACCUGAGAGGGUGAUCGGCCACACUGGGACUGAGACACGGCCCAGACUCCUACGGGAGGCAGCAGUAGGGAAUCUUCCACAAUGGACGAAAGUCUGAUGGAGCAACGCCGCGUGAGUGAUGAAGGUUUUCGGAUCGUAAAACUCUGUUGUAAGGGAAGAACACGUACGAGAGGGAAUGCUCGUACCUUGACGGUACCUUACGAGAAGGCCACGGCUAACUACGUGCCAGCAGCCGCGGUAAUAC